UACGUAAGGGGCUAGCGUUGUCCGGAAUCAUUGGGCGUAAAGAGCGCGUAGGCGGCUAGAUAAGUCCGGUGUGAAAGUCACAGGCUCAACCUGUGAAUGCCGCUGGAAACUGUCUGGCUGGAGUUCGGUAGGGGAGACUGGAAUUCCUGGUGUAGCGGUGAAAUGCGCAGAUAUCAGGAGGAACACCGGUGGCGAAGGCGGGUCUCUGGGCCGAUACUGACGCUGAGGAGCGAAAGCGUGGGGAGCGAACAGG
rnacentral:rRNA from 1 species